rnacentral:rRNA from 1 species
AGAGUUUGAUCCUGGCUCAGGAUAAACGCUGGCGGCGUGCCUAACACAUGCAAGUCGAACGCCCUGCGCAAGCAGGGAGUGGCGGACGGGUGAGGAACACGUGAGUACCUACCCUUCAGUGAGGAAUACCGGCGAGAAAUCGCCGACAAUACCGCAUAUUCUUCUCACGAAGCAAAGCUCGCAAGAGCGCUGGAGGAUGG